AGUCCCCUGGGCAUCUCAGCAAGGAACUCCCUCAGCGUGAUGAUUUUUUUUCCUCUUUUGUUUUUCUGGUUUUUUUUUUUUUUUUUUUCUUUUUUAAACCUCACUGAAUGUAGUGACUCACCGCCAUUGAAGAGAAUGAAGGAGAAUGUGCCACUUCUGAGACUGAGUCAUGGGAAGCACCGCGGCCUCCAUCUUGGAUGAGAAGCAACAAGGAACAUGUAAAUGAGAGAAGGCAGAGAGGACUGUGACAAGGAGUCUGCGACUUUGGCUGUGCUAGGACAGAAGAGGCAGUUUAAGACACUGAAAGAUGGACAUCAAGACAAAGGGUGGAAGGUGGUGAGGAGAUGUGGGACAUCUCUAACCUGCUGAACACUUUCCUCCACUGGCACAGACCGCAGUCUGGCUUCAUUCCUGCCUCCCUCUUCAGACAGAGAGCUCCCAAACUGAGGACCUGUAUUUGUUCAUCUGGGGACCCUAAGCCCCUGAAAGAAAAUAUCUGGAAGAAUAUGGUACCCAACUGCUACAGUGGCUACUUCUGAAAAGAGAUUGGAAAGACAGAGAGGGGAUUUUCCAGUUCAGAAAAGUGAAAUCAGGUGCUG